UACGUAGGGUGCGAGCGUUGUCCGGAAUUAUUGGGCGUAAAGAGCUCGUAGGCGGUGUGUCGCGUCGGCCGUGAAAACCUGGGGCUCAACUCUGGGCGUGCGGUCGAUACGGGCAUCACUUGAGUUCGGCAGGGGAGACUGGAAUUCCUGGUGUAGCGGUGAAAUGCGCAGAUAUCAGGAGGAACACCGGUGGCGAAGGCGGGUCUCUGGGCCAAAACUGACGCUGAGGAGCGAAAGCGUGGGGAGCGAACAGG
rnacentral:rRNA from 1 species